rnacentral:rRNA from 1 species
AGUGAACGCUGGCGGUAGGCCUAACACAUGCAAGUCGAACGGCAGCACAGUAAGAGCUUGCUCUUACGGGUGGCGAGUGGCGGACGGGUGAGGAAUACAUCGGAAUCUACUUUUUCGUGGGGGAUAACGUAGGGAAACUUACGCUAAUACCGCAUACGACCUACGGGUGAAAGCAGGGGAUCUUCGGACCUUGCGCGAUUGAAUGAGCCGAUGUCGGAUUAGCUAGUUGGCGGGGUAAAGGCCCACCAAGGCGACGAUCCGUAGCUGGUCUGAGAGGAUGAGCAGCCACACUGGAACUGAGACACGGUCCAGACUCCUACGUGAGGCAGCAGUGGGGAAUAUUGGACAAUGGGCGCAAGCCUGAUCCAGCCAUACCGCGUGGGUGAAGAAGGCCUUCGGGUUGUAAAGCCCUUUUGUUGGGAAAGAAAAGCAGCAGGUUAAUACCCCGCUGUUCUGACGGUACCCAAAGAAUAAGCACCGGCUAACUUCGU